rnacentral:rRNA from 1 species
GAUAAACGCUGGCGGCGUGCAUGAGACAUGCAAGUCGAACGAACGAGCUUGCUCGUUAGUGGCGGACGGCUGAGUAACGCGUAGGUGACCUGCCCCGAAGUGGGGGAUAACGGCCCGAAAGGGUUGCUAAUACCGCAUGUGGCGACAUCUUCAGUGAUGUCAUCAAAGCCGCGAGGCGCUUCGGGAGGGGCCUGCGUCCGAUUAGCUCGUUGGUGGGGUAAUGGCUCACCAAGGCGACGAUCGGUAGGUGGUCUGAGAGGACGAUCACCCAGACUGGGACUGAGACACGGCCCAGACUCCUACGGGAGGCAGCAGUCGGGAAUUUUGCUCAAUGGGCGCAAGCCUGAAGCAGCAACGCCGCGUGAGGGAUGAAGGCCUUCGGGUUGUAAACCUCUUUUUCCAGGGACGAUGAUGACGGUACCUGAAGAAUAAGUCACGGCUAACUACGUGCCAGCAGCCGCAGUAAAAC